CCGGAUUUACUGGGCGUAAAGGGAGCGUAGGCGGAUAUUUAAGUGGGAUGUGAAAUACCCCGAGCUUAACUUGGGAGCUGCAUUCCAAACUGGAUAUCUAGAGUGCAGGAGAGGAGAAUGGAAUUCCUAGUGCAGCGGUGAAAUGCGUAGAGAUUAGGAAGAACACCAGUGGCGAAGGCGAUUCUCUGGACUGUAACUGACGCUGAGGCUCGAAAGCGUGGGGAGCAAACAGGAUUAGAUACCCUGGUAGUCCAUGCCGUAAACGAUGAAUACUAGGUGUAGGGGCCCCAAGCCUUUGUGCCGCCGCUAACGCAUUAAGUAUUCCGCCUGGGGAGUACGGUCGCAAGAUUAAAACUCAAAGGAAUUGACGGGGACCCGCACAAGCAGCGGAGCAUGUGGUUUAAUUCGAAGCAACGCGAAGAACCUUACCAGCACUUGACAUCCAACUAACGAAAUAGAGAUAUAUAAGGUGCCCUUCGGGGAAAGUUGAGACAGGUGGUGCAUGGUUGUCGUCAGCUCGUGUCGUGAGAUGUUGGGUUAAGUCCUGCAACGAGCGCAACCCCUAUUCUUAGUUGCCAGCAUGUAAAGAUGGGAACUCUAGGAAGACUGCCGGUGAUAAAUCGGAGGAAGGUGGGGACGACGUCAAAUCAUCAUGCCCUUUAUGUCCUGGGCUACACACGUACUACAAUGGCUAUUACAGAGAGAAGCGAAGCAGUGAUGUGGAGCAAAACUCAAAAAAGUAGUCUCAGUUCGGAUUGAAGGCUGAAAUUCGCCUUCAUGAAGCCGGAAAAGCUAGUAAUGGCAGGUCAGCAUACUGCCGUGAA
rnacentral:rRNA from 1 species